CAUGCAAGUCGAACGAGGAUAUAUCCUUCGGGGUAUAAGCCGAGUGGCGCAAGGGUGAGUAAUGCAUAGAUUACCUGCCUCUAGGAUAAGGACAACUUUGUGAAAACGAAGCUAAUACUUAAUAAUACAAAAGAAAAUAAUUUUCUUUUGUCAAUGGGAGGGUAGCAAUACCUUUUGCCUAGAGAGGGGUUUAUGUCCUAUCAGCUUGUUGGUGGGGUAAUGGCCUACCAAGGCGAAGACGGGCAGCCGGUCUUAGAGGAUGGUCGGCCACACUGGGACUGAGACACUGCCCAGACUUCUACGGAAGGCUGCAGUCGAGAAUCUUUCGCAAUGCCCGAAAGGGUGACGAAGCGACGCCGCGUGAGUGAGGAAGGCCUUAGGGUUGUAAAGCUCUGUCAGGAGUUAAGAAAUAUAAGUGUGUUAAUACCACAUUUAUUUGACGAAGGCUCCAAAGGAAGCCACGGCUAACUCUGUGCCAGCAGCCGCGGUAAUACAGAGGUGGCAAGCGUUGUUCGGAAUUAUUGGGCGUAAAGAGCACGUAGGUGGGUUUGUAAGUCAGAUGUGAAAGCCUUCUGUUCAACGGAAGAAUUGCAUCUGAAACUGCAGGUCUUGAGUGUAGGAGGGGAGAAUGGAACUUCUGGUGGAGCGGUGAAAUGCGUAGAUAUCAGAAGGAACGCCGGCGGCGAAAGCGAUUCUCUGGCCUAUUACUGACACUCAGUGUGCGAAAGCUAGGGGAGCAAACGGGAUUAGAUACCCCGGUAGUCCUAGCCGUAAACGAUGGGCACUAAGUAGAGGGGAUUACCGAUGUUCUCUCUGCCGUAGCUAACGCAUUAAGUGCCCCGCCUGGGGAGUACGGCCGCAAGGCUAAAACUCAAAAGAAUUGACGGGGGCUCGCACAAGCGGUGGAGCAUGUGGCUUAAUUCGAUGCAACGCGAAAAACCUUACCGGGGCUUGACAUGGUAGAAGUAGGAACCUGAAAGGGUAACGAACGGUAUCCAGUCCGUAGCUAUCACAGGUGUUGCAUGGCUGUCGUCAGCUCGUGUCGUGAGACGUUGGGUUAAGUCCCCUAACGAGCGAAACCCUUGUUUUUAGUUACCAGCGGGUUAUGCCGGGUACUCUAGAAAGACUGCCGUCGUCAAGACGGAGGAAGGUGGGGAUGACGUCAAGUCAUCAUGGCCCUUAUGCCCCGGGCUGCACACGUGCUACAAUGGUCGGUACAAACGGAAGCGAAGCCGAGAGGUGAAGCGAAUCCUAAAAAGCCGAUCUCAGUUCGGAUUGGAGGCUGAAAUUCGCCUCCAUGAGGUUGGAAUCGCUAGUAAUCGCGGAUCAGCAAUGCCGCGGUGAAUAUGUUCCCGAGCCUUGUACACACCGCCCGUCAAGCCACCCAAGCAGGAUGCACCCGAAAACAUUAUAUCUAACCAGGGCAACUUGGAGGAAAGUGUUGAAGGAGUGUUUUGUGAGGAGGACUAAGUCGUAACAAGGUAGUCGUAGGAGAACCUGCGGCUGGAUCACCUCCUUUCU
rnacentral:rRNA from 1 species